rnacentral:tRNA from 1 species
GCCGGGUUGGUGGAAUUGGUAUACACACCAGUUUGAAAAACUGGAAGUCUAGCGACUUUGUGGGUUCGAAUCCCGCACCCGGCG